rnacentral:rRNA from 1 species
UACGGAGGGUGCAAGCGUUAUCCGGAUUCACUGGGUUUAAAGGGCGCGUAGGCGGUCGUGACAAGUCACUUGUGAAAUCUCCGGGCUUAACUCGGAAAGGUCAAGUGAUACUGUCGGACUAGAGUACAGAAGGGGCAACUGGAAUUCUCGGUGUAGCGGUGAAAUGCGUAGAUAUCGAGAGGAACACCUGCGGCGAAGGCGGGUUGCUGGGCUGAUACUGACGCUGAGGCGCGAAAGCUAGGGGAGCGAACGGG